UGACUGACUUUAUUAUUGCAUUACAGUAUUUAAACCUUAUUUUCCCCGGGCUCAAUCUUAGGCUUUGGCCUCUUGUCUAGAUCAUGGCUGGGAGAAAGUAAUGGUACUGAGGUGACUCCAGCAGGCAGUGCAUCGGCACAGCUGCCCUGCCCUUCGUGGGGAGAACCUUGGUCAGGACACGUGGGACUCCUGCUCUUUCCUAGUGGACCCUAGACCUUGUCCUUCCUCCUCCACCAAGGGCAGCAAGGCUGCUGACGAUGCCCACUUCUAGCCAGGGGCUGGUGUCCAUCUGGAGAGUUCAGGAUGCCAAGGUCCAAAGGUGCCCAAGGAACUCCCAGGCAGCAGUGGCACUGCCUGCUUUUACCUUCACUCUUGGGAUCUUCACCCUAUCCUCCUUCCUUGGGACACAUCUAGCCAACCCAGUGGCCAGGGACAGGAGGCCUUCCAGAGGCAGCACCUCCAGUGGGAGCAGACCAAAGGCUGCAAGUUCGAACCAGAGAGACGCCGGAAGCAAACGUGUGGCGGUCACCUAGCAAUCGGACGGCGUCCUCCCGGCAGGCCCUGCGCCCGGCACCCAGUGUCCCACGCGGCUCCGACGCGCACUACCAGUCCCACAAUGCCCCGCAAUCCCGCCCCUCUCUGCAGAGACCCCUC
rnacentral:lncRNA from 1 species